GCUCUGGUAGCUCAGUGGUAGAGCGCGUCCUUGGUAAGGACGAGGUCGCGGGUUCAAUCCCCGCCCAGAGCUC
rnacentral:tRNA from 2 species